rnacentral:rRNA from 2 species
GAUGAACGCUGGCGGCGUGCUUAACACAUGCAAGUCGAACGGACAUAAUUAGUUUACUAGUUAUGUUAGUGGCGAAAGGGUGAGUAACGCGUGGGCAACCUACCUCUUACAGGGGAAUAACAACGUGAAAACGUUGCUAAUACCGCAUAACAAUUAUUUAAGACAUCUUAGAUAAUACAAAAGAGCAAUCUGGUAAGAGAUGGGCCCGCGUCCGAUUAGUUAGUUGGUGAGGUAACGGCUCACCAAGACCGCGAUCGGUAGCCGGACUGAGAGGUUGAACGGCCACAUUGGGACUGAGACACGGCCCAGACUCCUACGGGAGGCAGCAGUGGGGAAUAUUGCACAAUGGACGAAAGUCUGAUGCAGCAACGCCGCGUGAAGGAAGAAGGUCUUCGGAUUGUAAACUUCUUUGAUCAGGGAAGAAAAAUGACAGUACCUGAAGAACAAGCCACGGCUAACUACGUGCCAGCAGCCGCGGUAAUACGUAGGUGGCGAGCGUUAUCCGGAAUUACUGGGUGUAAAGGGCGCGUAGGCGGGAUUGCAAGUCAGAUGUGAAAUACCAAAGCUUAACUUUGGUACUGCAUAUGAAACUGCAAUUCUUGAGUGUCGGAGAGGAAAGCGGAAUUCCCUGUGUAGCGGUGAAAUGCGUAGAUAUAGGGAGGAACACCGGUGGCGAAGGCGGCUUUCUGGACGAUAACUGACGCUGAGGCGCGAAAGCGUGGGUAGCAAACAGGAUUAGAUACCCUGGUAGUCCACGCUGUAAACGAUGGAUACUAGGUGUAGGAGGUAUCGACCCCUUCUGUGCCGGAGUAAACACAAUAAGUAUCCCACCUGGGGAGUACGGUCGCAAGGCUGAAACUCAAAGGAAUUGACGGGGGCCCGCACAAGCAGUGGAGUAUGUGGUUUAAUUCGAAGCAACGCGAAGAACCUUACCAGGACUUGACAUCCCCUGCAUAGCAUAGAGAUAUGUGAAGUCUCUUCGGAGACAGGGAGACAGGUGGUGCAUGGUUGUCGUCAGCUCGUGUCGUGAGAUGUUGGGUUAAGUCCCGCAACGAGCGCAACCCCUAUUGUUGGUUGCCAUCAUUAAGUUGGGCACUCCAGCGAGACUGCCGGUGACAAAUCGGAGGAAGGUGGGGACGACGUCAAAUCAUCAUGCCCCUUAUGUUCUGGGCUACACACGUACUACAAUGGCUGUUACAAAGGGCAGCAAGAGUGCAAACUUAAGCGAAUCUCAAAAAACAGUCUCAGUUCGGAUUGUGGGCUGCAACUCGCCCACAUGAAGUCGGAAUUGCUAGUAAUGGCAGGUCAGCAUACUGCCGUGAAUACGUUCCCGGGCCUUGUACACACCGCCCGUCACACCAUGAGAGUCUGUAACACCCGAAGUCAGUAGUUUAACCUUUAACUAGGAGAGCGCUGCCGAAGGUGGGACAGAUAAUUGGGGUG